rnacentral:rRNA from 2 species
AGUGAAGCGGGAUGAAGCUCAAAUUUGAAAUCUGGCUGGUUUUACCGCGUCCGAAGUUGUAGUUUAUAGAGGUGUUUUCGGUGGCAGCCUGGGUAUAAAUCCUUUGGAAUAGGGUAUCAUAGAGGGUGAGAAUCCCGUCUUUGACUUAGGUUAUGCUACUAUGUGAUACAUCUUCAAAGAGUCGAGUUGUUUGGGAAUGCAGCUCUAAAUGGGUGGUAAAUUUCAUCUAAAGCUAAAUACAGGCGAGAGACCGAUAGCGAACAAGUACCGUGAGGGAAAGAUGAAAAGAACUUUGAAAAGAGAGUUAAACAGUGCGUGAAAUUGUUGAAAGGGAAACGUUUGAAGCCAGCCGUGCGGGCGGAAAAUCAGCCUAGCUGUGGUGAGGAGCUAUGGGGGGUUCGGAGCGCAAGCCCGGCCUUUUGUGGCAUCCGUAUCACAAUGGGUGCACUUUUUCGUUUGCAGGUCAACAUCAGUUUGCUUCGCUGGAAAAGGCCUUGAGGGAAUGUGGCAGCUUUGGCUGUGUUAUAGCCCUGAGGAGAUACAGUGGAGUGGACUGAGGAGUCGCAGCGUGUGCUCUUGGGCAAGGUAGACUGGGUGCUGUGGGAUGGGGCGAGGUACAAUGCAUGCAUUUUGCUUCGUCUUUUCUGUCUUACACUCGCUCAUCUCUACUCUUCCACGCUUAGGAUGUUGACAUAAUGGAUUUAAACGACCCGUCUUGAAACACGGACCAAGGAGUCUAACAUAUAUGCGAGUGUUUGGGUGGCAAACCCAUGCGCGUAAUGAAAGUGAACGUAGGUGCGAUCCGCAAGGUGCAGCAUCGACCGAUCUUGAAUUUUUAGGAUAGAUUUGAGUAAGAGCAUAUAUGCUGGGACCCGAAAGAUGGUGAACUAUGCCUGAAUAGGGUGAAGCCAGAGGAAACUCUGGUGGAGGCUCGUAGCGAUUCUGACGUGCAAAUCGAUCGUCAAAUUUGGGUAUAGGGGCGAAAGACUAAUCGA